AUUGAACGCUGGCGGCAGGCCUAACACAUGCAAGUCGAACGGCGUGGCGGACGGGUGAGUAAUGUCUGGGACACUGCCUGAUGGAGGGGGAUAACUACUGGAAACGGUAGCUAAUACCGCAUACUAUCAGAUGAGCCUAGGUCGGAUUAGCUAGUUGGUGGGGUAGAGGCCGACCAAGGCGACGAUCCGUAACUGGUCUGAGAGGAGGAUCAGUCACACUGGAACUGAGACACGGUCCAGACUCCUACGGGAGGCAGCAGAGGGGAAUAUUGGACAAGUGGCGAAAGCCUGAUCCAGCCAUGCCGCGUGUGUGAAGAAGGUCUGCGGAUUGUAAAGCACUUUAAGUUGGGAGGCGUUACCAACAGAAUAAGCACCGGCUAACUUCGUGCCAGCAGCCGCGGUAAUAC
rnacentral:rRNA from 1 species